rnacentral:lncRNA from 1 species
CUAGGACGGGAGUAGUCCUAGGAUGGGUGACCCCCUAGGAAGUCGGGGCGUCACAGAUGGUAUCAGAGCCAAUUACCAGCCGGAAGUGUGAGAUGAGUCUCGGCUGAGCCAGGGUCUAAAUGACGGGCUAGCGAGACGAGUCUCACAUUGCCUGGUACUUGUGAGUCUGAGCUUGACGAGGACGUCAGGGUUUAAAGGAGGGGAGAUUGUGAGACCCCAGAUAGUCCUAUAUAUAAGAUAUAAUAGAGCUAACCUCUUAACCUGGCUUAAGCAUUUUGGGUGGUGGCUAGACCCAAGAGGUUAAGAGAGUUAAGUGUGCUAGGACGGGAGUAGUCCUAGGAUGGGUGACCCCCUGGGAAGUCGGGGUGUCACACUUGAGGGAGUGCACUGUAAUAUACCGAAAAUUCGGAAAAUAAAUAUCGAACUUUAGUCAAAUUGACCAAAGUGCGAGGAUGGAACACUUCGGAAAGUCCGAAGGUGUUAAAAUGAUCAAAAGUGAGUUAUGGGAGGUUUUCGAGAGCUAGAGAAUCAAAAUCUGCAUUCUGCAGGUUUUGAGCUCUCGGGGACCGGUCCCUGGUGGGAGAGACCGGUCCCCGAACGCGUAUGAAACGAGACAGCCGAAAAAUCGGCUAAGUCCUGAGAAGCCAGCUCUCGGGAACCGGUCCCUGCCAGAGAGACCGAUCCCCGAGAGACCGGUCCCCCAAGGCGAGACAGGAUGCAUCGCGCGCAGCAGCUCUGGCUACGCUGGGAGAGCUCUCGGAGACCGGUCCCUAGUCGGGGAGACCGGUCCCCGAGCCCGAAAUCUGCCCAGUCUAGGCAGUUGAAUAAGAUGAAAGUUGAGGGGUUUAUUUGUAUUUUGGCAACCCAAUAGCUAUGUAUUGGGGUAAAUGAGGGAUUUCUCUCAUUUUCACCCUCUCAUCCCCUCUCAUCUCUCUUUCUCUCUCUAGAAGACAAAGAAGGAGAAGAAGAAGAGAAGGAAAGGGAAGGAAAAGACGAAGAAGAAAGUGGAGAUGAAGCUAUUGGAGUGAAGCAACUUCAUCUUCUUCCUCUCUAGAGCAAGGAAGGAGCAAGCUUAGAGGUAAGCUUUGCCUCUUCUCAUGUUAAAUCCCAAACUAGGGUUUGGAUUAGAGUAAAGAUGGUUUUUAUAGAACUUUUAGAGUAUUUGAAAUUUUUCUUUUGCUUCUUGAGAGAUCAAAACUAUGAAAUGGGUAAAGCUUGAAGGUGAGCUUGACCCCUCUCAUGGUAGAAUCCAAACUAGGGUUUGGAUCGAAUUAAAGAUGAUUUAGAUGGACUCUUUAGAGUAUAGUGGAGCUACUUUUGCUUCCCAAUGAGAUCAAACCCUAGGUUUUGUAUAUGUAUUGGAGCUAGAGCACCAAAUUGGGGCUUUUGCUCAUGAGGGUUUCUAAGUGCAAUUGACCCUCUAGAAACCCAAUUCGGGGUAUUUCCGACACGUUGGUGCGCUCGGAUUAGCAUUACGAAAAGCCGAUGUAAAGUUAUGGGCAAAAUGGCCUAAGUUGGCUUCGUUUUGCCGCAGGUAAAGAACGAAGGAUCUAAAAAUCCCAAGAAAAUCGUCGGAGCACCUAAAGAGGCCUACAAGGUGGGUGGUGCUUUCCAAACUCAUUGAAAUUCUCUCUAUGCCUAAUGUGUCAUUCUUUGAGCAUAUGUUCUAUAUAUUGUUGCAUGCAUUUUAGGGUAAAGUAAUGAUGAAAUGUGAUGAUUGCAUGAUUGUGAGCACAACUUGCAUAAUGAGAUGGUUGAGAACCUAAUAAUGUCAAAACCCUAGAUGUAUGCAUGAGAGAAAAUGUGAGUACCAAAGUGAGCAAAAGAACAGAGUGACACCUUGACAUAGAUCGAGUGGCAUUGACAAUGUAAAGUAAAGAACACUAAAGCGAGCGUGAUGCAAAGAACCAAAGUGAUGUAAAAGAACGAGUAAUAUGAAAUAAAGUUAAAGUAAAAGUGACACUAUAGUUAGUGUGAGACAAAGAUCGAAUGUGAUGCAAAGAAUGAGGUAAAUGACUAAAGUUAAAGCCAAGUGGGGCAUAAAGAAAAAAAUUGAAAAGAAAUCCAAAGAAUGUGAAUGCUAGAGUUAGCAAAAGUAAAGAAAUGUAGAGAUUGUGAUUGCAUGAGCUUGCAACAUAAAGUGAAGAGAAGAACACUAGAGCUAGUGUAAAGUCGAGAUUGAACUUGAAAUCCUUUGAGUGAAGGAUAUAAUCAUACUUGCUAUGAGUUCCGUGCUCGAGGGUGGUCGCUCCCCCUCGGGCGAUGCGCUCCGGAGUUAUACAUCCGGGUUGGAGUAGACCCGUAAGGACGGUCCUAGCUUGUGAGUUCCUGCAAUGAUGGACUUAAUGUGAAGCAAGUUAAUGUGGCGAAACCCCCGGGUUAGCCUUGAGAUUAAAGAGCAAAGAGCAAAGAACAAAGUGUAAAGUUAAAGAACAAAGAGUUUGCAUAACCUGCAUUUAUUUAAUGUUGAGCAUAUUUCCUGCUUAUUGUUCAGGCAUAUUAGCAUCACGUUAUAGAUUGGUUAUUAUAUCUUGUUUAUCCUUUCUAUUAUUCCUGAGUUAGUCCUAGUGGGAAAGUCGGUGAUGUUGGGGCCGAACCCACUGGAAACUUUGUUGUAUUUCUCACCCCACUAUUUCCACAGAGCCGGGACCGAGCGAGCCGCCGAGCGAUCGAGGUAAAGGUAUCGCGCCUUAGACAGAGGCCACCAGAGUUGAGUUGGGUUUACAUUUUGUUAGUAGAGUACCCUAUGUUCAUCUUUUGUAUUUGAUGACUAGAGAUGUUGAGAAAAGAAUGUAAAGCUUAUUUUGAGGUAAAUGUGAUGUAAGAAAGAAAUGAUGCAAUGUGUAAUGAAGUACAAGGAAUCAUGAAUGUAAGUGAAUGCUUGUAUGUGAUCAAAACGAAUCAUAGUACUUGUGUGGAUAUUAGUUCCUUUCUUUCACUAAUGGCUAUUGCUUACCCUCGUGUAAGCCGUUUGUGUAUGUUUCCGCUAAUGCAAUUCUUGUUUGAAUAUGUAUAUGUGAUGAGCCUUGGGCGGAUAGGGGAAACUCUGUCCGUUCGGCGUCUGUUUGACGAGCUCGGGCCGGCCCAAAUUGGUAUCGGUCCCGGGGCGUGACAUGCACGAUGUGUUCCACGUGUCAAAUCUCCGCAAGUAUAUUCAUGAUCCCGACCAUAUCCUCUCGUUUGAGCCAUCCUAUAUAUAAGAUAUAAUAGGGCUAACCUCUUAACCCGGCUUAAGC